rnacentral:rRNA from 1 species
GAGUUGAUCUUGGCUCAGAUUGAACGCUGGCGGCAUGCCUUACACAUGCAAGUCGAACGGCAGCAUGAUCUAGCUUGCUAGAUUGAUGGCGAGUGGCGAACGGGUGAGUAAUACAUCGGAACGUGCCCUGUAGUGGGGAUAACUAGUCGAAAGAUUAGCUAAUACCGCAUACGACCUGAGGGUGAAAGUGGGGGACCGCAAGGCCUCAUGCUAUAGGAGCGGCCGAUGUCUGAUUAGCUAGUUGGUGGGGUAAAGGCCCACCAAGGCGACGAUCAGUAGCUGGUCUGAGAGGACGAUCAGCCACACUGGGACUGAGACACGGCCCAGACUCCUACGGGAGGCAGCAGUGGGGAAUUUUGGACAAUGGGGGCAACCCUGAUCCAGCAAUGCCGCGUGUGUGAAGAAGG